AAUCAACGCUGGCGGCGUGCCUCAGACAUGCAAGUCGAACGAUUAAAGCUCUCUUCGGAGAGUGCAUAAAGUGGCGCACGGGUGAGUAACACGUAAGUAAUCUACCUUCGAGUGGGGAAUAACGUCCGGAAACGGACGCUAAUACCGCAUAACGCAGCGGCAUCGCAAGAUGACAGUUGUUAAAGAUUUAUCGCUUGAAGAGGAGCUUGCGGCAGAUUAGCUUGUUGGUAAGGUAACGGCUUACCAAGGCUACGAUCUGUAACCGGUCUAAGAGGACGGUCGGUCACACUGACACUGAAUAACGGGUCAGACUCCUACGGGAGGCAGCAGUCGGGAAUUUUGGGCAAUGGGGGAAACCCUGACCCAGCAACGCCGCGUGAAGGAUGAAGUAAUUUCGGUAUGUAAACUUCGAAAGAAUAGGAAGAAUUAAUGACGGUACUAUUUAUAAGGUCCGGCUACUAC
rnacentral:rRNA from 1 species